rnacentral:rRNA from 1 species
AGCAGCCGCGGUAAUUCCAGCUCCAAUAGCGUAUAUUAAAGUUGUUGCAGUUAAAAAAGCUCGUAGUUGAAUUUCGGGAUCAAGGAAUCGGUCAUGCCCCGGUAUGUACUGGUUUUAUUGGUUCUCACCUUCUAAAGAACCAUGAUGUCAUUCAUUUGAUGUUAUGGGGAAUUAGGACUGUUACCUUGAAAAAAAUUAGAGUGUUUAAAGCAAGCUUACGCUUGAAUACAUUAGCAUGGAAUAAUGAAAUAGGACAUCCGAUUCUAUUUUGUUGGUUUCUAGGAUCGAUGUAAUGAUUAAUAGGGAUAGUUGGGGGGCAUUAGUAUUCAAUUGUCAGAGGUGAAAUUCUUGGAUUUAUUGAAGACUAACUACUGCGAAAGCAUUUGCCAAGGAUGUUUUCAUUAAUCAAGAACGAAAGUUAGGGGAUCGAAGACGAUCAGAUACCGUCGUAGUCUUAACCAUAAACUAUGCCGACUAGGGAUCGGAUGAUGUUUAUUUUUUUUAGUGACUCAUUUCGGCA